rnacentral:misc_RNA from 1 species
UACGAACUGUGCGAACGUUAUUCGGAAUCACUGGGCUUAAAGGGUGCGUAGGCGGCUGCACAAGUCGGGUGUGAAAUCUUCCGGCCCAACCGGAAAAUUGCGCCCGAAACUAGGCGGCUUGAGUGCGCUAGGGGUGUGCGGAACUUCCGGUGGAGCGGUGAAAUGUGUUGAUAUCGGAAGGAACGCCGGCGGCGAAAGCGGCACACUGGGGCGUAACUGACGCUGAGGCACGAAAGCCAGGGGAGCGAACGGG